AUUGAACGCUGGCGGCAUGCCUUACACAUGCAAGUCGAACGGCAGCACGGACUUCGGUCUGGUGGCGAGUGGCGAACGGGUGAGUAAUAUAUCGGAACAUACCCAGUAGUGGGGGAUAACUAUCCGAAAGGAUAGCUAAUACCGCAUACGAUCUGUGGAUGAAAGCAGGGGAUCUUCGGACCUUGUGCUAUUGGAAUGGCCGAUAUCUGAUUAGCUAGUUGGUAGGGUAAAAGCCUACCAAGGCGACGAUCAGUAGCUGGUCUGAGAGGACGACCAGCCACACUGGAACUGAGACACGGUCCAGACUCCUACGGGAGGCAGCAGUGGGGAAUUUUGGACAAUGGGGGCAACCCUGAUCCAGCAAUGCCGCGUGAGUGAAGAAGGCCCUCGGGUUGUAAAGCUCUUUUGUCAGGGAAGAAACGGAGUUCUCUAAUAUAGGAUUCUAAUGACGGUACCUGAAGAAUAAGCACCGGCUAACUACGUGCCAGCAGCCGCGGUAAUACGUAGGGUGCAAGCGUUAAUCGGAAUUACUGGGCGUAAAGCGUGCGCAGGCGGUUUUGUAAGUCUGAUGUGAAAUCCCCGGGCUCAACCUGGGAACUGCAUUGGAGACUGCAAGGCUAGAGUGUGUCAGAGGGGGGUAGAAUUCCACGUGUAGCAGUGAAAUGCGUAGAGAUGUGGAGGAAUACCGAUGGCGAAG
rnacentral:rRNA from 1 species